UCCGGGAUUUGUGACGGUCACAAACAAGGUCAUCUCUGCGGGAGGGGGCCGUGGCGGGGGCUGAGAGCUGUGGGAGUCCUGGGGAGAUGUGUCUCCUGGGAGAGAAGAAGCAAGGAGCACUGUGGCUAGGAGAGCUGUGUGGCUAGGGGCAGCCAGCCGGGCAGAUUUCACAUCCGGUGAAGCAGGCCAUCUCAUACCUGAUGAAAAAGUGCUUCCUUUCGUUUGUAUGGAACCUGCCAUCUCCAAGCCUGUCGAGGUGGCCCUUUGCCCUCCCUCCGUGACUCCGCUGGUCCAGCCCUCUCAUCCUCCUCCAACACAGUUACGGGAAAGAACUGCGGAAAAAAAAAAAGAGAAAAGCA